AAGUUGGGAGGUCAGGUUGCAGUUGUAUAAGAAGUUGGUGAGACUGUAUUUAGAGUAUUGUGUUCAGUUUUGGGCACCAUUUUAUAAGAAAGAUAUCAUGCUGGAAAGGGUUCAGAGAAGAUUUACAAGAAUGUUGUCAGGACUCGAGGGCCUGA